GUGAAAUCGUUGAAGUGGAACCGGAGAGAGUUGACGUAGUAUGGUGGAUAAGUAUUGCAAGAAUCGCUUCAAACCAUGAAUGUGAUCGAGUAAUAUGUACGUCACCAAAGACUGCGCUGACAGCAUCGACUACACGCUCUGAACUGUGUUGACAUGUUGCCUAYUCUAGUAUAUAGAGUGGUGUCUUGUGUUACGUGGUGAAGUUUGUUGUUAUGUUGUUGAUGUUGAUAAGUAUGAUUAUACAYCGAGUAUAAUUAUGUCAGUGUAAAAGUCAACCACCUCUCCGACCCGUCUUGAAACACGGACCGAGGAGUGUAACUUGUACGCGAGUCAUUGGGUGGAAAAACCUUAAGGCGAAACGAAAGUGAAGGCACGGUUAACCGGCUGACAUGGGAAACGUGCGGUAUUGUUAGCGAGACGUUACACCAUGGCCCUGUCUUGUCUGCAUGCAGAUGGGCAGCGGUAGAGCGUACAGGUUGCGACCCGAAAGAUGGUGAACUAUGCCUGAGCAGGACGAAGUCAGAGGAAACUCUGGUGGAAGUCCGUAUCGGUUCUGACGUGCAAAUCGAUCGAUAGACUUG
rnacentral:rRNA from 1 species